CUUCUGUACAUUUUGGAAGUGUUUUAAAAUAAUGUGCCUCCAUUAUAGCUCUGGUACAAAAACAGGAAACAAUUAACCAACGCCUCUUAAGAGGAAGGAUAUUAGCAGAACAUAUUUAAAAUUAAUAUCCAUUUCUUAUGCAGAUGUAUGUAGAAAAUAUUUUAAGGAAGAGCAGGAAGGUGGUAUUCUGCACAAAAUGUUUACUACAUUUAAUAUGUACUCAGAGGAGGAACACACAGGACAAGACUAACUUUACUUAUUUUUCAGGUCCCACAACAUCCAGCCCUUCAUUGCGUUGCUUCCCGCUAACACAACUCCAGCAUAUACCAUAUUGGUACAUUUUUACCACCACACUACCCCACUAGAGUUUGGAACAGAUUCGCAGAGACUCCGUACUGAGAAAAUAUUUUGAAUGGAGAACUAUAAUCAAGCAAGUCUGGGGCUGGCAUGCACACACGGCUAGCCAAGCAGCUAUUUAACCAUGUAUGCAUGAGCAUGCACUAUAGUAUGAGUGCAAAGUAAACGUGCAAACAGCUCUUCUCUGCAACUAUUAGGGUGAGACUCACGUAAUCUCACAAUUCCAGCAGAUGGGGCUUUAAUGCACACCAAAAUAUUGAAGAACUCAUGACAAAAUGGUGAGAGUUGGCAACACUGAAAAUUCCUUGAUUAAUUUAGCUAUUUGCUUGGAACUCUGGACUUUCCACUUCAAUCUUUUUAAAAAAGUUUUAUUACCUUAGCUUACAAACUGGCAUGAAGUUUUUCCCUACAGUUUUGGGAACGGAAAUUUGUUCAAACUCUUAAAUGAACAGUAUUAUCGAAAAAGUCACAAUUUAUGGGGAGGUUAACUUUUAUAGAUAUUUUAUGUACAGUUUUGGUCUGCUGCUGCCAACCAACUAUAUCCAUAUAGCUGACUAUACAGAGUCAGGAAUCAUAGAAUUGUAGAACUGGAAGGGACCUCGAGAUGUCAUCUAGUCCAGUCCCCUGCACUCAUGGCAGGACUAAGUAUUAUCUAGACCAUCCCUUUGAAGACUUCCCUUCCUUGUCUUCAACCACCUUAACUUUUACUGAAGUCUGGGGAAUAGCACAUUUAGAGACUGUAACAGUGUCCUCAUCUACAUAGGUCUCAUUUUGACCUUUGCUGCUCGCCACAAAGCUGAAGAAGACACAAUGCAAUAUUCCUUCACCCCACUUUGAACUUACCCGCUGUAGCAUAGGAAGAAGUUUCUCCUCCUACAGUCCUGCCCAUGUCUUGCUAGUAAUAUCUCUGUGACCUAUAUUUUGGGGGGGUUCAGAGCAGUAGGGUUUUUUUCUGGGGUCAUUUUAUUCAGCACUCUGUAGACUGAGAUUUGUUUUCUGUUUUAAAAACCAAGGAGUUCAGAAGAGGCAGACAAUUUCUUGCCACAGAUUUCUACGUCAGCUGGGAUGGAGGUAUGAAAGAGAUACUCAGCAUCAACAGCUUUACACAUCAACGCCCAAACUCUGAUACUCAAAAGUAGGGCUGACAAAUAAGUUCUGCUGUAUCUUCUGCCAGGGUUAUGAGGAAAAAUGAAAUUUAUUUGGAAUCCAUCCUAUAGGCUCCUCAUACACUGGAAAUUAAAAAUUUACCUAUACAAAACUAGAGGCAAAAACUGAGACAAUGAAGGUUGAACUUAAAGCCUCUGAAGGAAAAAAACCUGCAAAAUCUUUAUCUGAACUAAAUAGUUCAAAAACACGAUUUGAGGUCUUGGUACAAGAAUUUUCUAGUGUGUAGGAAACAAAAAAUAAAAAACUUUCAAAAAUAAAUAAGUAAGAACUAAACACACAGUUAUUUGGCCUCUAAGGUAGUGUAGAGGGAGAUUUUAUAAACCAUGUAAGACCAUUGUGACACAGAAAUAUGAGCCU